rnacentral:rRNA from 1 species
GAUGAACGCUAGCGGGAGGCUUAACACAUGCAAGCCGAGGGGUAUAAAGAGCUUGCUCUUUAGAGACCGGCGCACGGGUGCGUAACGCGUAUGCAAUCUGCCUUUAUCACAGGGAUAGCCUUUCGAAAGGGAGCUUACUACCUGAUAACACAUUUUACAGCAUUGUAAGAUGUUAAAAGAUUUAUCGGAUAGAGAUGAGCAUGCGUAUGAUUAGGUAGUUGGUGAGUUAACGGCUCACCAAGCCGACGAUCAUUAGGGGGCCUGAGAGGGUGAACCCCCACACUGGUACGGAGACACGGACCAGACUCCUACGGGAGGCAGCAGUGAGGAAUAUUGGACAAUGGGUGAGAGCAUGAUCCAGCCAUCCCGCGUGAAGGAAGAAGGAUCUAUGGUCUGUAAACUUCUUUUAUAUAGGAAUAAACCUACAUACGGGUAUGUAGCUGAAGGUACUAUAUGAAUAAGCACCGGCUAACUCCGUGCCAGCCGCCGCGGUAAGAC